rnacentral:lncRNA from 13 species
CUGCUGGAACCUGCCUGGGGAGCUCAGGAAUGAGAGCAGAUGGUAAAUAAAGACCUGGCAUGAAAUCACCCCAGUGUCCUGGGGAGGGAAAGUGGAACCUUAAAGAGGUGAGACUACCAGGGAACAUGUAACGAGAGAAAAGGGAGGGACGUGGAAUUCAGAUUGUUGGGGUAGAAAGAGGAAGCAAGGUGGGGGAAGAGUCAGAGGAGGUGCAGGCAGAGGGGCAGGAGGGGAAUUGAGAGAGGACAGCGAGCCUUCAGAAAAUCAGGGACCAGCACCUUCAACAGAAGCCACGGAGCAACCCAAGAGGAGCCUGGGAGAACCGGACUUGGUGGCUGCUGAAAGACAGUUUCAGUUUAGGGGCAGGAGUGACAGCCAGCCGGCACUGCAGAAGGAGAGGGGAAAGGCAGGCAAUCGAGAGGUUUCCUUCAAUAGGUUUAUCAACAAAAACAGCAGUCAAUAGGACCCAGGAAAAGACGGGAUCUCACUAUGUUCCCCAGGCUGCAAUGCAGUGGCUAUUCACAGGCGAGAUCCCACUACUGAUCAGCACUGAAGUUUUGACCUGCUCUGUUUCUGACCUGGGUGCUGUGGAAUCAGGACCCUCAUCAUGAAGUUAGUGACGGCUUUUGCCACGGAGGCGAGUGGGCAUGUCUGUUCCCUAAAACGCUGCGGAAAGAAGCAUCAGAUUACCUCCAACGCACUGUGUCUGGACCACUAUUGGGAACAUAGGUGCUUUUUCUUAUAAGAGGUUUUCAGAGUAAAUGAACUUGAGAUUUCAUUAAGAUAGCUAUUGUGUAAGAAAACUGGCCCGUCUGGCUGGACAGGUUUUGUGUUUUGGGGUUUUUUUUUUUUUAAGAACAACUUGUUUUAAAAUAAGAUUAGUAUCAAUUUGGUUACCCUCUCUCUACAAAGAAGUCACCCCUCUCAGAGACCCUGACAUCUGCUAGGUGGAGGCAUUACUGUGGCUGCUGCCUGCAGGGGCUGUGACUUGGGGGUUCACCCUAGAGAUGAAACAGUGUCAGUGUCAGGUCAGUUAUCCCAACAGUGAUGUCUGCCUGGUAAUAAUUGAGUCCUACUGUGUGCUGUGCGCUGGGUUAAGCCCUUCACAUACCUCAUAGCUGACUCUUAUGAUAAUCCCAGAGGGGUAUCAUGAUGAAAAACUUGAGCAUAGGAGUGACCCAGAAUUGGGCUAAAUCCCUAGUCUACACUUAAUAGCUGUGUGACCUAUGGCAGUUUGCAGUCCCCUCUGUAGACUUCAGUUUCCUCAUAUAAAAGUGGGCAUCCUAACAGCAUCUGCCUAACAGGGCUCUUGUGAGAAUGAAUGAAAUUGAGCAUAUAAAUAAAGCAUGCCUAUAAAGCA